rnacentral:rRNA from 1 species
UGCGUAGGAUGCAAGCGUUGUCCGGAUUUAUUGGGUUUAAAGGGUGCGUAGGCGGCCUAUUAAGUUAGUGGUGAAAACGUUCGGCUUAACCGGAUACCCGCCAUUGAUACUGAUAGACUUGAGUGCGACAGAGGGUGUUGGAAUGUGUGGUGUAGCGGUGAAAUGCUUAGAGAUCACGCAGAACACCAAUUGCGAAGGCAGAUGCCUAUGUCGUAACUGACGCUGAGGCACGAAAGAGUGGGGAGCAAACAGG